rnacentral:rRNA from 1 species
AUUGAACGCUGGCGGCAGGCCUAACACAUGCAAGUCGAACGAGUGGCGGACGGGUGAGUAAUGUCUGGGAAACUGCCUGAUGGAGGGGGAUAACUACUGGAAACGGUAGCUAAUACCGCAUACCAUCAGCUGUGCCCAGAUGGGAUUGGCUAGUUGGUGGGGUAACGGGUCACCAAGGCGACGAUCCCUAGCUGGUCUGAGAGGAUGACCAGCCACACUGGAAGUGAGACACGGUCCAAGCGCCGACGGACGGCAGCAUUGGGGAAUAUUGCACAAUGGGCGGAAGCCUGAUGCAGCCAUGCCGCGUGUAUGAUGAAGGCCUUCGGGUUGUAAAGUACUGUCAGAGGGGAGGCGUUACCCGCAGAAGAAGCAACGGCUAACUCCGUGCCAGCAGCCGCGGUAAUAC